rnacentral:rRNA from 1 species
AGUGAACGCUGGCGGUAGGCCUAACACAUGCAAGUCGAACGGCAGCACAGUGAGAGCUUGCGCUUGCGGGUGUCGAGUGGCGGACGGGUGAGGAAUGCAUCGGAUUCUACUGUUUCGUGGGGGAUAACGUAGGGAGAUUUACUCUAAUACCGCAUAUGACGUACGGGGGAAAGCAGGGGUUCGUCUGACUUUUCGGGGUUGUAAGAGCCGAUGUCGGAUUAGCUAGUUGGCUGGGUAAAGGCCCACCAAGGCUACGAGCCGUAGCUGGUCCGAGCGGAUGAUCCGCCACCCGGGAACUGAGACACGGCCCCGACUCCUACGGGAGGCCGCAGUCGGGAAUCUUAGGCAAUGGGCGAAAGCCUGAUCCAGCCAUACCGCGUGAGUGAUGAAGGACUUCGGGUUGUAAAGCCCUUUUGUUGGGAAAGAAAAAAAGCACGUUUAUCCCCGGCUGUUCUGACGGUACCCAAAGAAUAAGCACCGGCUAACUUCGUG